AAAAUACUCCGUCCGUCUUAAAACUCUUGUCUUAGAUUUAUCCAAAUACAGAUGUAUCUAGUCAUGUUUUAGUGUUAGAUACAAGCAUACUUAAAUAAAUUUAAGACAAGAAUUUUGGGACAGAGCUAAUAGUGC
rfam:Hordeum vulgare subsp. vulgare, WGS project CAJW01000000 data, contig: morex_contig_388525